CCUACGGGAGGCAGCAGUGGGGAAUAUUGCACAAUGGGGGAAACCCUGAUGCAGCGACGCCGCGUGAGUGAAGAAGUAAUUCGUUAUGUAAAGCUCUAUCAGCAGGGAAGAAAAUGAAGGUACCUGAGUAAGAAGCACCGGCUAACUACGUGCCAGCAGCCGCGGUAAUAAGUAGGGGGCAAGCGUUAUCCGGAUUUACUGGGUGUAAAGGGAGCGUAGACGGCAGUGCAAGUCUGGAGUGAAAGGCGGGGGCUCAACCCCCGGACUGCUCUGGAAACUGUACGGCUGGAGUGCAGGAGAGGUAAGUGGAAUUCCUAGUGUAGCGGUGAAAUGCGUAGAUAUUAGGAGGAACACCAGUGGCGAAGGCGGCUUACUGGACUGUAACCGACGUUGAGGCUCGAAAGCGUGGGGAGCAAACAGGAUUAGAUACCCUAGUAGUC
rnacentral:rRNA from 1 species